UGUAGUUCUGGGCUGGCGGUGACGAGAGCGCGCAUGCGUGGCGGCGGUGCCCGGCAGGUGCCUUCGGGGCGGGUCAGCCCGGAGCCGUCAGUGCUCAGCCUCGCUGCAGGUUCACAAAGCGGGAGUCAGUCCCCGGCGUGCUGCGCUGGACUAGGCUGGUUGUUGUUGGAUUCCAAGUAGAUGAAUUGCCGUGGUGCUGUUGUUUCCUCCCGGUGCUUGUGUCGCUGUUCCCUGCGGUUUCGGCCCCCCCUCAGCCUGACUGCUUUGGAGCAAUAGCUGGGCAAGCCGGAGCUGGUCGUGGCAGCUAUGGGGUACAAAUAUGCAUUUACAUAGGUUGUGUUUGGACAGAGAGAGAUGAGAGGCCAGCAGCUGCAAACAGCAGAGACAGUAAUGACAUGGUGGCUUCACAAAACUCAGCUUUGAAGAGUUUGGUGAUGGCCUAG
rnacentral:lncRNA from 1 species